UACGGGGGGGGCAAGCGUUGUUCGGAAUUACUGGGCGUAAAGGGCUCGUAGGCGGCCAACUAAGUCAGACGUGAAAUCCCUCGGCUUAACCGGGGAACUGCGUCUGAUACUGGAUGGCUAGAGGUGGGGAGAGGGAUGCGGAAUUCCAGGUGUAGCGGUGAAAUGCGUAGAUAUCUGGAGGAACACCGGUGGCGAAGGCGGCAUCCUGGACCAAUUCUGACGCUGAGGAGCGAAAGCCAGGGGAGCAAACGGG
rnacentral:rRNA from 1 species